rnacentral:lncRNA from 1 species
CAGCUAUUAUAAGUUAUAUGGUUCGCUGCUGACCCCAUACGGAUCCAUAGAGGGUUAGUAAAAUCCAUAGGGGGUGAGGCCGGAGGCCGAAUCCCCUAUGAAUUUUAUUCACCCUCUAUGGAUCCGUAGGGGGUCAGUAGUUAACCGUAUAACGAAUUUAUCGGACGCUGGACUUUUUCUGCUGCGUUUUGUUGAAAAAUAAACAAUGAAACACAAC